UACAGAGGGGGCAAGCGUUGUUCGGAAUUACUGGGCGUAAAGGGCGCGUAGGCGGCCUUCUAAGUCGAACGUGAAAUCCCCGGGCUCAACCCGGGAACUGCGUCCGAGACUGAAAGGCUUGAAUCCGGGAGAGGGAUGUGGAAUUCCAGGUGUAGCGGUGAAAUGCGUAGAUAUCUGGAGGAACAUCGGUGGCGAAGGCAGCUCGCUGGGACGGUACUGACGCUGAGGCGCGAAAGCGUGGGGAGCAAACAGG
rnacentral:rRNA from 1 species